rnacentral:rRNA from 1 species
GACGAACGCUGGCGGCGUGCUUAACACAUGCAAGUCGAACGCUGAAGCUCAGCUUUUGUUGGGUGGAUGAGUGGCGAACGGGUGAGUAACACGUGAGUAACCUGCCUCCUUCUUUGGGAUAACGCCCGGAAACGGGUGCUAAUACUGAUAUUCACUGGUCUUCGCAUGGGGGUUGGUGGAAAGGGUUUUUCUGGUGGGGGAUGGGCUCGCGGCCUAUCAGCUUGUUGGUGGGGUGAUGGCCUACCAAGGCUUUGACGGGUAGCCGGCCUGAGAGGGUGACCGGUCACAUUGGGACUGAGAUACGGCCCAGACUCCUACGGGAGGCAGCAGUGGGGAAUAUUGCACAAUGGGCGCAAGCCUGAUGCAGCGACGCCGCGUGAGGGAUGGAGGCCUUCGGGUUGUGAACCUCUUUCGCUCAUGGUCAAGCCGCAACAAUGGUUGUGGUGAGGGUAGUGGGUAAAGAAGCGCCGGCUAACUACGUG